rnacentral:rRNA from 1 species
CCUACGGGCGGCAGCAGUGAGGAAUAUUGGUCAAUGGGCGAGGGCCUGAACCAGCCAAGUCGCGUGAGGGAGUACUGCCCUCUGGGUUGUAAACCUCUUUUGUCGGGGAGCAAAAGCCGGACGUGUCCCGUUGUGAGAGUACCCGAUGAAAAAGCAUCGGCUAACUCCGUGCCAGCAGCCGCGGUAAUACGGAGGAUGCGAGCGUUAUCCGGAUUUAUUGGGUUUAAAGGGGGCGCAGGCGGAUUUUUAAGUCAGCGGGAAAAUCGUGGGGCUAAACCCCAUCCAGCCGUUGAGACUGGUGAUCUAGAGUGUGCUAGAGGUAUGCGGAAUGCGUGGUGUAGCGGUGAAAUGCAUAGAUAUCACGCAGAACCCCGAUUGCGAAGGCAGCAUACCGGUGCACAACUGACGCUCAGGCACGAAAGCGUGGGUAUCGAACAGGAUUAGAUACCCCUGUAGUC